AUCUUUCCAGUUCAAGAGCGUGAUGAUCGGUGUGUUCACGGUUGAUCCGUGACAGGUGCUGCCUGCUCCUUGUUACGCACUGCGCCUCAGCCUUUCUGAUC